AGGAGUGAUGGUUUUGAAUUGAAAGAGGAUAGAUUUAGAUUAAAUAUAAGAAAGAAAUUCUUCACUGUGAGGGUGGUGAGAUGCUGGGACAGGUUGCCCAGUGAAGGUGUGGAAGUGUUCAAGGCCAGGUUGGACGGGGCUUUGAGC